rnacentral:rRNA from 1 species
AUGAACGCUAGCGACAGGCUUAACACAUGCAAGUCGAGGGGCAGCACAGGUAGCAAUACCGGGUGGCGACCGGCGCACGGGUGAGUAACGCGUAUGCAACUUGCCUAUCAGAGGGGGAUAACCCGGCGAAAGUCGGACUAAUACCGCAUGAAGCAGGGAUCCCGCAUGGGAAUAUUUGCUAAAGAUUCAUCGCUGAUAGAUAGGCAUGCGUUCCAUUAGGCAGUUGGCGGGGUAACGGCCCACCAAACCGACGAUGGAUAGGGGUUCUGAGAGGAAGGUCCCCCACAUUGGUACUGAGACACGGACCAAACUCCUACGGGAGGCAGCAGUGAGGAAUAUUGGUCAAUGGGCGUAAGCCUGAACCAGCCAAGUCGCGUGAGGGAUGAAGGUUCUAUGGAUCGUAAACCUCUUUUAUAAGGGAAUAAAGUGCGGGACGUGUCCCGUUUUGUAUGUACCUUAUGAAUAAGGAUCGGCUAACUCCGUGCCAGCAGCCGCGGUAAUACGGAGGAUCCGAGCGUUAUCCGGAUUUAUUGGGUUUAAAGGGUGCGUAGGCGGCCUUUUAAGUCAGCGGUGAAAGUCUGUGGCUCAACCAUAGAAUUGCCGUUGAAACUGGGGGGCUUGAGUAUGUUUGAGGCAGGCGGAAUGCGUGGUGUAGCGGUGAAAUGCAUAGAUAUCACGCAGAACCCCGAUUGCGAAGGCAGCCUGCCAAGCCAUUACUGACGCUGAUGCACGAAAGCGUGGGGAUCAAACAGGAUUAGAUACCCUGGUAGUCCACGCAGUAAACGAUGAUCACUAGCUGUUUGCGAUACACUGUAAGCGGCACAGCGAAAGCGUUAAGUGAUCCACCUGGGGAGUACGCCGGCAACGGUGAAACUCAAAGGAAUUGACGGGGGCCCGCACAAGCGGAGGAACAUGUGGUUUAAUUCGAUGAUACGCGAGGAACCUUACCCGGGUUUGAACGCAUUCGGACCGAGGUGGAAACACCUUUUCUAGCAAUAGCCGUUUGCGAGGUGCUGCAUGGUUGUCGUCAGCUCGUGCCGUGAGGUGUCGGCUUAAGUGCCAUAACGAGCGCAACCCUUGCCACUAGUUACUAACAGGUAAAGCUGAGGACUCUGGUGGGACUGCCAGCGUAAGCUGCGAGGAAGGCGGGGAUGACGUCAAAUCAGCACGGCCCUUACAUCCGGGGCGACACACGUGUUACAAUGGCGUGGACAAAGGGAAGCCACCUGGCGACAGGGAGCGAAUCCCCAAACCACGUCUCAGUUCGGAUCGGAGUCUGCAACCCGACUCCGUGAAGCUGGAUUCGCUAGUAAUCGCGCAUCAGCCAUGGCGCGGUGAAUACGUUCCCGGGCCUUGUACACACCGCCCGUCAAGCCAUGGGAGCCGGGGGUACCUGAAGUCCGUAACCGCGAGGAUCGGCCUAGGGUAAAACUGGUGACUGGGGCU